UUAGAGACAGGGAAGAAACUGCUGCUGGAAGCACAGCAGCACAGCGAGGCAGGAAGGGGAUGAGCAUGGCCUGAAAUCGCAGCUGCUGCAUUGAGGUGUUUAUGGCCUGUGGCUGUGCCCGUGCAAGACGUGGGCUGAGUUUCCAGCCUUGCUGAUUCUCCUCAGGUCUCAUGACAUCUGCUGUUUCCUCCCUGAGAGCCCCAGGCUGCAAGUGUGUAGCUGGAGGAGACUCAUCAGUGCAGCACGAGGUUCCCGUGUCCCAUUCUCCAGGGCAGCCACAGGCUGGUGCCAAGGGCUGUGACUGCCUGUGUCUCACUCACUGCUCUCCAUCCCUCCCCAAGCCCCCCACCAGAGAAGAAAACUCUGCUCUGCCUGCUGCAGUGCUGCUGCACCUUGCUGUCAGGAGCUUCCCUGAAGGAUGAAUUUGUGGUGUAGAAGUGGCUACUGAGACUGAAAGUGUCUGUCUUGACAGAGACCUUGUUCUUCCCAAGCAGACAGCCGAAACGCUGAUCUGAUCCUGCAGAACAUCGUGGCACCGGCGGCUCCCAGCCUGCAGAGACACUGAGCUCAGGGAAGGGCAAGUUUGCAGCAGAGUGCAGACACAAAGCUGUUGGCUAACAUUUCCUACACAGCAGCCUGCAGAUACAGGAUGGCACGUUCUGGGCUCGAACUCCUGUUCCUGUGAAGAUGGCUUGCUGCAUCUCAACCUUCUGACGUUGAAACAGAGAUGCCUCCAUCAGCUCUCUUGGCAAGGCUCCUUGCCUCUUCUCGGAACACCCACACCCGAGCAGCUUGUCUGUGGGUUUUCAGUGAACUGCCGGGGAAGCUGCUUUGUGACAAAAGUGGUUUUGAGCCCUUUUCUGCGCGGGCACACCUGCUGCUGGGAGGGAGGCCCGGCAGGUGACACCCACAGCAGCCAGGCUCAGAUGCUUCAGAAGAUGCAGGAAUACACAGAAAUGGAUGAUCAUGGAGACCUUUAUCCUCAGGAGAAACUCUUAGUGUGUUUCUGUGCAAUAAAUUGCAGAGGGGUUUGUAUCCUCUUCCAUAAAACCCAGAUGAAAUAAGUGUUUCACUUUGGCACCGAUCUACAUAUUCAUGUUUUUCUGAAUCCUGUUAAAUAUUUGCUCUCAGCAAUAUCCACUGGCAGUGAGCUCUACAGGUUUAUUCUGGAGGCUUUUUG